ensembl:lncRNA
GGAAAUGACAGUGUGCAUUUCUGUGACAAUAGACAAGAACAGCUCAAGGACAGAACUACAUACAUUUAAAUACACAGAAUAAAUGCAUUGAAAGCGUUUCUGUGAAGCUUUGUGAUCGACAAGGACAAGUUUGAUGUCGGACAACAAUAGAAUGUUCAUGAUUUAAUGGGCCAAAGAUGGUAAGGUGAAAGGCACCGUUUAUACUGAGGGGUUGGUGGGACUUCUAAAUACAUUACCACUAUCAUGACUAGGUCGGUUGGCAGGACUUCUAAAUACAUUACCACAAUCAUGACUAGGUCGGUUGGCAGGACUUCUAAAUACAUUACCACAAUCAUGACUAGGUCGGUUGGCAGGACUUCUAAAUACAUUACCACAAUCAUGACUAGGUUGGUUGGCAGGACUUCUAAAUACAUUACCACAAUCAUGACUAGGUCGGUUGGUGGAAAUAAAAGUACAAGGCUUAGUUACCGUUCAAAUAUUAAGAAAAGGCGGCAAAGUUGGCGCAUGGUAAAAUUGAUGGAAAAGCGUCUUGGUAUGAAAGGUAUCUUAGUGUGUUUGUGAGUGUGUGUGUGUGUGUGUCUGCGUGUUUAUCUUUGGC